GAAAGAUUCAUCGGAAGAGGAUGGGCAUGCGGCGCAUUAGCUUGACGGCGGGGUAACGGCCCACCGUGGCGACGAUGCGUAGGGGUUCUGAGAGGAAGGUCCCCCACACUGGUACUGAGACACGGACCAGACUCCUACGGGAGGCAGCAGUGAGGAAUAUUGGUCAAUGGGAGAGAUCCUGAACCAGCCAAGCCGCGUGAGGGAAGACGGCCCUAUGGGUUGUAAACCUCUUUUGUCGGAGAACAAAACCCGGGACGAGUCCCGGACUGCGUGUAUCCGAAGAAAAAGCAUCGGCUAACUCCGUGCCAGCAGCCGCGGUAAUACGGAGGAUGCGAGCGUUAUCCGGAUUUAUUGGGUUUAAAGGGUGCGUAGGCGGUCCGUUAAGUCAGCGGUAAAAUUGCGGGGCUCAACCCCGCCGAGCCGUUGAAACUGGCAGACUUGAGUUGGCGAGAAGUACGCGGAAUGCGCGGUGUAGCGGUGAAAUGCAUAGAUAUCGCGCAGAACUCCGAUUGCGAAGGCAGCGUACCGGCGCCAGACUGACGCUGAGGCACGAAAGCGUGGGGAUCGAACAGGAUUAGAUACCCUGGUAGUCCACGCAGUAAACGAUGAAUGCUGGUUGUCCGGGUCGAAUGAGACCUGGGCGGCGA
rnacentral:rRNA from 1 species